CACCGCGUCUCUCCCCUCUGAUCGUGAAUACGAGUUUCUAGUUGUUACGUUAAUCUCACCCCACCCUGGAACGCUUGUUUUGUUGCGUCUACAGACUAGACCCCUCGGUCAUCCGUCGACGGACGGAGGUAGUGUGAAUGCGCCCUGGCCUGAAUACGCGCGGACCAUGGACCUCUAAAGACCGUUUGGAAUGCGCCCGGACCGUUUUGAGUACACCAUCCGGGUCCUUUCAGUGCACUGCUUUCCCCCCGAUCGUAAUUGGAACGCCCUAAUCAAACUAAGUAUACUCCUUUAUAGUCAACCCCCACCACACGUUAUCGUCGUCAUUUUGAAUACCCAAAGGCACUUUUAAGAGCCACGUCCAUCUGUCUGCCUUUCUGUCUGGCUGUCUGUCUAUCUAUCUGCCUGUUUGGCUGUCUAACUGUCUGUCUGCCUAUCUGUCUGUCUGUCUGUCUGUCUGUCUGUCUGUCUGUCUGUCUGUCUGUCUGUCUGUCUGUCUGUCUGUUUGUGUUGCAAUGGCCAUGAGACAUACCAUUGACCGCCAGCAUCCCAGCUACAAAGAGGGGAAACGUAAAUUGCUUGAAAGUAAACAAGACCACCUUAUAGCUGAAGCUGAGAGAGCCGUUGAGGAGAGGAAACGUGCGCGUUCUGGUGGAGGACCUCCAUGUGGCUCCACUAGUGACGGUGCAAGACGAGGCAAGCCGAGGGGGAGGCGUGGAGGGCGACGCGGAGGGCGACGCAAAGCCUCAGCCACAGUCACGUUCCCCCCAGCUGAGUGCUCCCCGUCAUCCCAUGAGGACGUUCCGCUUACUGUACCUUCAGCGCAACUGAAUCCUCAAGAGGCAUUUGAAAAGUUUGUGGAGAGGCUUUCAUCUCUAAAUGCCUCUGGUCCUUCUGCCAAGCCUCAAAGAAGCUCUGCAUCUUCAUGGACUUUUCGGCAGCAGAAAGCCUCAGAGCGCUGGACAGAAGCACGACCAAACCACCUACAAGGCCUCAUUGAAAAGGAGGCUGUUGGUCAUCCCUUGUGUUGCCUCUGCCCCAAGCCGGCUGUUAUUAGGUGCAGAGAGUGUCUCCCUGAAGAGUGGUUCUGUGGGGACUGCGAUGUACUGCAUCACAAAAAACAGCCACUCCACAACAGGGAAUGUCUGAUACGUGGGUUCUUUGAACCCAUUCCUCCAACCACACGCAUCAUGAAAGGGGAGGAUGGAUAUUUCACUCAGGAGCAAGCUUGCAUCUUGCCAACUGUGAGUGUGUCAAACUGCGUCUGCGAUGGCACAACCUUCACUGUGUUACCAGGCAAACCAGUGAUUUUAAUUAACAUCAAUGGACGUUAUGACUUGCAUCAGCCACUGUAUGUAUGUCAGACGUGCCAGCAGCAGAGGACCCCUGACAUGAAGCACUUCCUUCAGAGUGGAUAUUGGCCAGCCUCUCUCAAUACUUCCACGUUGUACACGUUGGACCUCUUGAGCUCCUUUCAGGAACUGAAAGUAAUCUCUCCGGGAUUCUCCAGACAGGCCUUCGCAAAGCUCCUGGAGCAUCGCACCAAGUGUGGAGGACGAUCUGGACAUAUCAAAGGUGACACCCUGCAGCGCAGCUUCUUGGAGUUUUCAUAUGCUUCGUUUGAGAAGGACCAACUCUGCUGUGGUGCUGUUUUCACCUGCACAGCCUGCACACCAGAAAUGUUGGCUGUUUCAGUAGAUGGAAACAGAAAGUUAUAUCGCUUUCGCCGAAAUGGAAGUUCUGGUGACCAUGCCUUUUUUGAAGGUUUAUUUGUGGCUGAAGACAGUGCAGUGUCUGGAUUUGUGGACAUGAUCCAGAAAGCUGUGAAAAAGACACAGGGAAGAGGCACGUGUGGGGACUCCCAAUGGACAGCAGCACGCGAGACAUCAAGAAGGGCAUCCAAAUUGGAUGAAGAGGGCAUGGAGGUUGCUGUGUGUCGCCAUGGUUUCCUUCUUAAAGCCCUUAAUAUGUACAGGGGAGAAAUAUUUGCCUACCCCAUGUACCUUCAAAAGGAGCUGAUGCCAGCCAAGGCACAAUUCUUUGCCAUGGAUGUGGCUUGCAAAUACUGGCCGUACCUGGAGAAAGUUGCCAGUGUCCUUCCUGCUCUCCAGGAGCUGACCACCAUGAAACCUUUCCUCAGCGUCAUGCAUGCUCGAGCUCAUGCUACCAAGUGUGAGAUUAAAUGGAGUGGUAGGAACCAGGAAGGAGCAGGGACAACCGCCGGUGAAGAGGUGGAACAAGUUAACAGCUACCUCUCUCGUUGAGCCCUUACGACAAAAUAUAUGUCGAAAGCAGCCCGGUUGGACAUGCUCACAUUGCAUGCAAUGUUGUGGAACCAGAAGAAAGGGGAUUCCUUACACCAGGCACUUUCCCCAAGAUAUGUGAAGACUUGUCAGAGGCUCCUGGAUGAGACUGCAAUGCUAGCAGUGCUAAAAACCCAGCUACAUCUCUCAGAUGAAAUGGUGUCACAGUGGAUCUCAGAUGUGAUGGAAUGGGCAGCUGGUGAGACACGAGAUGCAUCUGACAACCUGCAAGGCACCACACACACAGGGCUUCAGCGGUCCAUUGAGGGGCUCUACCUCAGUGUGAGGCAGCGGAAGCUAAAUCUGUACCGUCAGAAUGACAGCAACAAGCUUCGCCACCGGCUUCGGAGGAAGCUGGCAGAAGAGAAAAAGCUCCUUUUUCAGGAGAUACAAAAGCACAACAAGCUUGACUCUGCAGCCAACAUCGAUGCAGCUGUGGUGGAGCACUCCCUGAGUGGAGAGAGCACUGUGUCCCCAAUAUGGCCUUGGGAGGUUCAUGACAGCGGUAUCAAACAUUGGAACCAAGAAACGGCUUCAUGACCAAGUCAUGACAACAAAGCGACUGCAGGAGGAAAAAAACAUUCUGGUGAUGGAGAUGGCACAACACUGCACAUGGUUGCAGAACCUGGCAUUGGUUCUCAAAAACAAGGUGGCUGAGUCGGGUGGAGAGUCUGGAGACAAAGGAGCUGAAGGACUUUGCAGUCUCUUGAGGAGAAGAAACACAGAGGUGUCAGAGGGGUUGCAAGUGGUCCUGCAAAAAUACAAGACUGCUUUAGGUCCUGAGGCCUCUGUCAUUCAAAAUAUUGAAGAG